rnacentral:rRNA from 1 species
UACGGGGGGGGCAAGCGUUGUUCGGAAUUACUGGGCGUAAAGGGCUCGUAGGCGGCCAAUUAAGUCCGACGUGAAAUCCCCAGGCUUAACCUGGGAACUGCGUCGGAUACUGGAUGGCUUGAAUUCGGGAGAGGGAUGCAGAAUUCCAGGUGUAGCGGUGAAAUGCGUAGAUAUCUGGAGGAAUACCGGUGGCGAGGGCGGCAUCCUGGACCGACAUUGACGCUGAUGAGCGAAAGCUAGGGGAGCAAACGGG